CAGACUAUACUUUCAGGGAUCAUUUCUAUAGUUACUAACUAGGAAAUGUGUUUCAAAAGAGUUUUGUCUUCCUAACUACGAUGAUGAGCGAGAAUGUGCUUCUCUAAGUGUGAAUCGGAUAGUGAACUAUGAUAUAUUCACAGUGAGCUACCAUUGAUGAACGUUCAGGAUUCUUUUUGAAUCAAUGAAGAGAAGUGCAUGAUCCCAGUAGGG
ensembl:snoRNA small nucleolar RNA U3